UGUAACCAGCAAACUUUAUCUUCUUAUUAAUUACCUGCUUUUUGCCUCCUCUGUCCAUGUCCCUUCAUCUCAGUUGGAAUAGCGAUUGGGGUGACUAUAGUGAUUGUGGUUCUCCUGGUUGCUCUGGUCUAUGCUGCCAGGAAGAAGUCCAACCUGCUGGAGACGCUUCGGAACAACAUGCCCAGUAUGCCCUCAAUGCCGUCCAUGCCCUCAAUGCCGUCCAUGCCCUCAAUGCCAAACUUCCGAAACAGUUCAUCUCCAAAUGCAUCGAAAACAGAGGGAAGUGACGUAAGGCUGAAUUCUGAAGCGGUCAGUGGCAACACAUAAACAGAUAUUCACGACCAUAUGCACCAUAUUCUUAGGAUUCAUUCAGAUCAGUGCUAUUAUUGAUACCUGUAUUGGUUCUUUUUUAUUACAAAAUAACAAAAUAUUAUCUCUUGAGCUGAAAUUACUGUAUAAACUCAAUAAUAUCUCCUUGGAAACAAAUCUGAAAUUUAAAUAAAUAAUAAAUAAAAUAAUUAAUAUUCCGGACAUUAAAACACUAAAUUAAGUUUAAAAAGAACAGAAAUAAGCUCCUCUGACACCUUGUCCUAAUGAUUUUAUCUUUUCACUCAUGAAGGUUUUAUUGCACCUACAGUAACGAUCAUAGGUCAUAAUCAUUUAGAACUGCUUCCAGUCCAGAAUCAGGUUUCAGGGGGGGCACAGCUUUUCAUGACAGAAGCAAAUAUUUCAUGUCAAACGAGUCUCUGGCUGAUGAUUCACAUAAACCAAGCUAUUAUAGUUAUAUAACUCAUUCUGUCUACUUGUCUGAUGUCAGGUUCCCUGUAUGUCUGUGUCCAUGGUGGACACGGAGGGGAAGAGUUUUGAGAACCCAGCAUAUGACGCUGGAGAACAACCUACUGCCACAAGCAUGGUGACCGCCAUCCCCGCUCCUGAUGGAACAAACAAGGAGUACAUCGAUAAUCCUUUGUAUAUGGAAGAAGUUCAGGUUGUGGCCACAGGAAGCGCAAACAAACCUGACGCUGCCAACAAGGAAGCUUUUGAGAACCCAGCAUACGGCUCAGACAUAGAAGAUGUUGCCUCUGCAGAACCAGCUGCUGCGAGCGCACAGUUUGAGCCCAUUAUGGAUGACCGUUUUUUAGCCUUCAAAAACCCCACAUACACGGAGAACUCACUCCCGCCCGCUCCAGAUUCUGACGUGUAAUGUGACUUCUACAUCAGAGAUUAGACUGGACUACGUUUCAGGACUGAAAUAUUAUUAUUAUUGUUAGAAGAUGUAACAUUACAGAAGUAACUGCACAGCUCAACACGCAGAACAUUUCAAACACUGACAGACCUGCAACAAAUCAACCAAGACAGUUUGUAAAAGCAAAAUAUAUACUGUGUCAUCUAUGUACUUUAAUUAAAUUUGUGUACAAAAAUAAACUUUUACUGACAUGAUUUACUGCAACUAAUAUGAGGCUCAUUCAAUAACGUGAUAAAGUGAUAGAUGUAGAUAAAUGUUGUUACUGAUCAUAUUUGUAUGUAAAUUUUGAUUGUAAGAGAGUUAAAUAUUAAAACUAUUAUCAUCAAUAUUGUGUGUCAGUAAAAGUGUAAUGAUCGGACUGCAAAUGGUAUCAAUUUCAGAUUUUCAACCCUUUUAGAUGAAGCCCCUGAUACUGAACCUUAUUCCAAUCUCUCUCUUGUACCUUUCUGUGCGCAACAGUGCACAUAUCACAGGAGGAUCUGUCAGUAGGACAAGACUCAGGCUCCCACUGGUGUUAUCCACUCUGCUCAUCACAGAUAGGACUCUGAUCCCCAGCUACUGUAUCUGACCCACUGAGCUGAGAUGAAUUGCUUUGUCAUCAUCCAUUUAAUCACACAGAGAGCCACAAUUUGAGACCGUGAUCACGGAACAACAGCAGCGAUCCUGCCCCCCUCUCUCCCACUGUCACACAAAUGUCUGAACACAUGAAGGUCUUGCUGAGCCUGCAACAACCAGGCCAACCAGAUGAGCAAAGGGACAAAAGAAAAGUGGAAAAGACAGAGGGAAUGGAGAAAAAAAAGUGGAAGCACAAUAGGGAGGCAUGUAAAGGGAGCUGUGAAUUCUGUGUUUUUUAUGUUGUGGUCCAUGAUGAUUCAUAGUUCAUGUUUUCAUAGCACUGGUCCACCACAAGGCAUCUCUGACCGUCAGCCAAAACAUGUAAUGUACCGCUCACUGAGACACAGAGACAUAGAGGGAGGGGAUGAAUAGCAAUGGGUGGAUUUGAGAGGGGCGGACCAAAGAGGCAUGCAGCUUGCAGCAUGUGUGCACACUGUGCUGCCUUCAGGAGCUGUCAGAAACGGUACACAUUAAUCCAACAGUGAGAUUUCCACGAUUCCUGAAUGGCAAAGAAGUUUAUUGAUUUAUUGUUUUUCAAUCACCUUGGGUUAUGUGUAUUGGUGUGAAUACAAGGGUUGUAGUAAAAAGAGCUUUGUUUUUAUUAGAGAAUAUUUAAUAAAAGGAAGAAUUAAUAUUUUCUUUAUCAUUUAAAAACUAUUUAUUGCUUGUUACAGGUUCAUAUCUAAAUACUUAUAUGUGUAAAGGCAUUUCAGCAUUAGGUUACAUUAGAUCAUAGUUUGUAUGGAAGCCAAU
rnacentral:lncRNA from 15 species